rnacentral:rRNA from 1 species
CCAGACUCCUACGGGAGGCAGCAGUGAGGAAUAUUGGUCAAUGGGCGGGAGCCUGAACCAGCCAAGCCGCGUGAAGGAAGAAGGCGCCAGGCGUCGUAAACUUCUUUUGUCGGGGAACAAAGGGCGCCACGUGUGGCGUUGUGAGUGUACCCGAAGAAAAAGCAUCGGCUAACUCCGGGCCAGCAGCCGCGGUAAUACGGAGGAUGCGAGCGUUAUCCGGAUUUAUUGGGUUUAAGGGGUGCUUAGGCGGGCCGGAAAGUCAGGGGUAAAGGCCGGGGGCCAAACCCCGGCGAGCCGUUGAAACUGUCGGACUAGAGACGGCGAGAAGUACGCGGAAUGCGCGGUGUAGCGGUGAAAUGCAUAGAUAUCGCGCAGAACUCCGAUUGCGAAGGCAGCGUACCGGCGCCGGACUGACGCUGAGACACGAAAGCGUGGGUAUCGAACAGGAUUAGAUACCCCAGUA